GACGAACGCUGGCGGCGUGCCUAAUACAUGCAAGUUGAGCGCUGAAGGUUGGUACUUGUACCAACUGGAUGAGCAGCGAACGGGUGAGUAACGCGUGGGGAAUCUGCCUUUGAGCGGGGGACAACAUUUGGAAACGAAUGCUAAUACCGCAUAAAAACUUUAAACACAAGUUUUAAGUUUGAAAGAUGCAAUUGCAUCACUCAAAGAUGAUCCCGCGUUGUAUUAGCUAGUUGGUGAGGUAAAGGCUCACCAAGGCGAUGAUACAUAGCCGACCUGAGAGGGUGAUCGGCCACAUUGGACUGAGACACGGCCCAAACUCCUACGGGAGGCAGCAGUAGGGAAUCUUCGGCAAUGGACGAAAGUCUGACCGAGCAACGCCGCGUGAGUGAAGAAGGUUUUCGGAUCGUAAAACUCUGUUGGUAGAGAAGAACGUUGGUGAGAGUGGAAAGCUCAUCAAGUGACGGUAACUACCCAGAAAGGGACGGCUAACUACGUG
rnacentral:rRNA from 1 species